rnacentral:lncRNA from 1 species
UUUUAUUUAUAAUCAUAAAGGAAAAAUUGCAAUUUAAUAAACACCUCAAAAUAAAACCUCAAUUUAAUCCUCUAAGGAUCCCUACACAUGUUCUCACUAAUCCCCAACUGUGAAUAACUCAUCCCUUACCUCUAAGCGGGCUCACGUGUCUUCAACCAGCGAUAGCAACAUCUCUAGCGGUUCCCGGAAAUUCUUUCAAUUAUUCAUCCGACUGCUCCGAUAGAAUUCCCAAACGUCAGAGAGACGGAGAAGAGAUUGAAACCUCCACUUAUGCUGUCUUCAUGCGAUUCCUUUUUCUCCCUCCACGAAUAAUAUCUCGCAAAUCCCAACGGUGGAAGCGUGCGUAAUUGAAUUUCGAACAACAUAUCCAAAUUUCACAAUAAUCCAACGGUUAACGAAACCGGGAUCGUAGUUUUACCAAGACAGCUCUGGGUUUCUGCGGGAAAGAAAAAGGCUACAAUGCGAAGGGUGUUUCUCUCAGUUCAGACAUGAUAUCAAAAUUCCCAACGGUGAGAAUGCUCGGAAUUGUGUUGCGAACAUGACACUCAAAUUUCACAACGAUCCAACGGUGAACGGGUUCAAGAUCAUCGUUUUUCUGAGACUGGUUUGAUGGGCUGCGGGAAAAUGAAAGGGUUUUGAGAGGAGAAGGGGAAAAACGAAAAUGAGGCCAAAAGGAGGCAGCUGACUCAACAUAACUAUUUAUACCUAGGGUACUCAGCCUAUUAUUUGCUCUAUAUUUAUUUAUUUUUUACUAAAAAGCUUUUUAAAUUUAUUUACGAAAAAUUGGGAUGUUACAUACUGUGCCCGUUUUUGUCACCAAUUCUAACCAUUUAGGCAUUUACUAGCUCAAACAAGGAGUUUUAGGCUUGAUAGUUACAAACCAAGCUUGAAAUUCGAUUAUUGAUAUAUACUACAUUUGCUAGGUGCAUUCUCCUUGUCAAUUAGAUUUCUUGUUUAACAAUAUUUAGUUCAACUUUCUGAUUGAAACACUCAAUAUUAGGAGAAAGAAGGUCUAUCUUGGAAAAGAACAAUCUUCCACAAGGGAGAUUUGCUCCUACAUUAUCCAUAGAAACAUAAUAGUAGAUUUCAAAAACAUCAUGCUGUCAACCUGAUUUAGGUAUCUUCUGACACGAGCUAAUACAGCAUUUUUAACUACUACUCACCGAUAAGUGACUAGUUUACACAAUCCACUAUAUACACUUCAGGCUAACUGCUAUUACUCUAAUAAAGAGAGUUGUAUCUGUAGCAGGUAGCAAUAAUGGAUGAGAUGCAAAUGAGGAGUGCAGGGAGUAAGGUGGUAUUCAGGAGUUUACUUUCACUGAAAUACCCAGAGAUUGUUAUUGUUCCAUCUGCAAUUACUCGAGCUAGAGUUCCAGCUUCUGUUGACAGCAAUCCCCCAUUGAAGGUUCCACGUGAAAGCCUUGAUGACAUCAUUUUUGACAGAAGUGAAAGGUUCACUCCUGGAUUAAUUGAGCAAAUUUUGGUGAGGGUUACCGAUAAGUGACUAGUCAUUAACUAGUAAUGAAUGAUGAGCAAAUUUCAGCUUCAGAUUUUAGCCUAAGAUUUGAACCAAUUUAAAUCUUUGACCAAGUCAUUAACUAGUAAUGAAUGAUGAGGCAAAAAAUGGAUCUAAAAUAUUUUCAGAUGAGAAGAAAAGGCACCAUUCUGAAAUUUAAGAUUGUCACAUAAAGUAAAAUAUCAGGUUAUUGCCAAUAACUGAGAAAUAAUCAACCUAUUCAACAAUUGAUGGACUUUGUUCAUGCAACACUUCCAUGUUCUUGAAUGAUCUUUUAAGUGGGUUUCCUGAUAUCAUAAUCAAACCUUAUUACAUGAAGGUUACAAGCUAACUAUGUACCUAUUCAUAGUCAUCAGAAUAGUUAAAGUAUUGCCAUUUUCAUCUGAUGAUGCAAGGUUGCCAGCAAACCUUCUAUUCAUGCCAGUUCUGUUUAUUACUAAAUAAAUUUCAGGCAUUACAGAAUGAGAAAAAAUUACCUUCAAGAACUUCAGCAGACACAAAUGUGAUAAGGGCUGAUCCAACAUAUUGAGUCACAGAGUAAGGAAUCAUUAUGUGGAAGCUUAAGAGUAGUCCAAUGCAAACCAUGAUUUCUGAUGUCAGUAGAACUUGCCUGCAAGCAGAAGCCAACCAGAAAGGAGAGAUCAAAUAUGUGAGCAAAAAAUAAAAAGAGGUAAGACUCAUCCAAUCGAGAUAGCAGAAGAUAAAUGUGGCACAAUCUCCAUUUAAAAUGUACAUUAACCCAUGAACUAGUUGCUAGAUUUCUUAUUACAAAUCAAAUCCUGGAGCUUUUUGAGGAUCAGAAACAAAAUAACUGUUCAAAAUGGGAAUUUUAAGGAUCAAAAGGAAAGUAAAGCUAAAGGUAAACAUUCUUUAAUGUUAACUAGAGUCUAAGUUUGUCCAAUAUAAUUAGCAAUUCCUUAAGAUUUUAUAUACACUAUUCUUGAUUAUAAUGAAAAGGACUAAUGUUCUAUAAUGGAAUAUGAUUCAUUCAUCAUAAACUGUCUAGUCACUAACAAGAAAUAAUGAUAGAAAGAAUUGAACUUUGGUGUUGAACUGUUGAUGAUGAUGAUGAUGAUUAGUAAGAAAAUAUGUUUUUAAUAGUACUUGAAUAUUUACCUUUCUUCAAACAUAUUGCUGAUGUAGUUUCCAACAACAAUAUUUACUGGAAGCACAGUAAGACCAAGGCAUGCGAGAAAAAUGGAUACGUUGCUGGUUGUCCAAAUAAAAUAGUAUUCCGUGACAAGGCUUGAUUCAGCAAGUAUGAUCUCCAUUGCAUACUUAAGCAUAAAAUACACAAAUAAUUGAACCUGAUAAAUAUAUUUAUAGUUAGUGCAAAAAGCACAUAGUUGAGAUGAUUGCUUCAUAUUCAUAUUGAAGAAGGUUCAAAAAGGAAGGUAUAUGGAAAAUGUUUAAAUUUGUUCUAUUUAAGUCUAAGCAUAUAUUUUCACCAAUCUUACUGAGGCUUCUCCCUGAAUUGAAGUUUAAAUUUUCUUAGUCAUACUAUUAGUAUGUCUCAUUUUCUAAAACAACCUACAGUUAUACCUGGUAAGUGCAAAAUCUGUAAUUCAAGUUACUAUACUUAAACAUGUAGUUAAUUCAUGUAACAUAAAGUAACUUGGAAAACCAGGGAUUGUUUCUUCAUAUGACUGUCAAUUCAUUUAUAAGACUUGAAGCUUCAAUUAUGAUAUGAGCAGAUAACCAGAGUAGUUAACUUUUCCAGAAUUUAUUAGGUAGAGGCAUUCAUGUAUAUUAGUUUGGGAAAACAGAGCAGUGGUUCAAUGGUGAAAAGGGGAAACCCUUAGAAAGAGAAAUCUUUCUCCUGUUCAUGUUCUGUUCAUUUUCUAUCGAGCAAUAAAAUCAGUCUUCUCUUUUUCUCUAUUUCCCUUUGCAGGAUACUAAAAGGAGUGGUUUCUGGAUAUCAUAUUUCUUGAUUUGUUUCCUUGUUUUAUUUCAGUAGGAAUAGGUAUCCAGUAUUAGUAUAAUAGGGGCUAGUGCUUUGUAUUUUCUCACAUAAAACCAAAGUUCAUUUUAGAUUAUUGAACUGCUUAAUCUCUGUUUUCCUCCAUAAUAUGGGUUUCUCACCUUUACUGAUGGCGUAAGUAACUUAUAUGCCACCACAAUAGAAGUGACAGGUUUCUUAGUUUCUUCAGCAUUAUCAUUUUCUUCUUCUCCGUCUUCAUCCUGCUCCUUUGCUUCCGAGUUUGUUAGUAAUGGUUGUGUGUGCUCAUUCUCUACUGCAACAUGUACUGCUGGUCCUAUGCAUUUUGACAAAGCGCAAAAAAUAACUAAGGAUGAAGCAUAAAAAGGUUAUUGGAGACUGCAUUUUUUUUAUCGGCAAAUAUUAGUAAUUAAUAUGUUGUUAGUGGGAGGAUUCGAACCCAUAACCUUUUUUUAGCUUCAACCCCUAUGCCCCUCCCCCAACCACCAGGCCAUCUUAUCCCGAUUGGAGACUGCAUUUACUAACAUUGUAUCUAAGAACUCAACUAUGUGGCAUAGGAAGGGAUGAAGGUGUUGUCAAGAAAUAGUAGAUACAAUCAUGAUAAGAAAAGUUGAUCUUAUAGAAUCAUUUAUGGAACUCUUAUAGACAAAACAAGACCACAAUGAAUUUUCUCAUGUUGAUGGAAAAAACAAGAACCAUCAUUAUCGUUGGUGCAUAGGCGUACUUCAUGUCUGAUACAUAUAGAAGAGAAAAGAACCAUAAAUAAAAGUGAGUUUCAUAUAUGUAAUAGAAACAUGCGGUCUUGCUGACGUACCUGUGUCUGCUUCAUAUAGCACAAGAUUUCCUUGAUUCUCAUGUGCUGGUUCCUUGAAACAAAUCCACAACCACAGUAGAUAGACAAGCCAUGCAAGAGCCAUUACCCAGCCAGGCAGAGUAUCUUGGUUCAUGGUGAACUUGUAAAUCAUAAAAUUUUUCUGUAACAAACAAGCCAGAGCUGGACCACAAGCCAUUCCCAGAGCACUUGCACUAACAAAACCUGCUGAAGCUUGCAUCCGAAGUUUCAAUGGUACACAGUCACUGAUAUACCGCCUAUUAACAGCCCUUGCAGAGCCUAACCUGAAACAUCAUUAAAUUCACCACAUCAAUAAUCAUUAUGUAAAUGUUCGUCUUAAACAUUAUGUACUUUAUAAAGUGUUGCAUUCGGUUACCAAUUAAUCAAGAGGGUAAGCAAAUAAUACAGUGUUUGAAAUAUAGGAUAUCAAGCUACAAAGGUAACAUAGGAAUACCUGAAAAUUACCUUAUUUGUACUUUUUUUUACUAAUCCAUUGUGUUUCUUGUACUAAAUUCAAGGGUUUUCUUUAAAGCAGCUAGCACCAGGUUUUUGUGUGUGUGUGUGUAUACAAAUGAGAAUUAAAAUAUAGACUUUUAGAAAUUUUAAGUGGUCAUGUGACCAUUAACCAACUUUUAAUCUUUGAUCACCCAUGUAUGGUUGUAUGGAGAAGAGCCUCACUUAAUACACUCCCUAUUUACAUCUAUAUAUAUUUAAGAAAUCUUGGUCAUUCAAUUGAAACAGAUGCUCAAGAUUAAAAAAAAAAAUCUUAACCAUCUGUAUAUGGUUGUAUAAUGUAUGGUCAAGAUUAACUCCUCUCACCACUAUAUAUGCUCCCAUGCACAUACAUUUAUAUAUCUAAGGUAUAUCAGAUACAAAUGGUUCUUUAAAGUCUAAGUUAUGCUACACUAAGUUGUGAUAAAAUAUACCAAAAUCUGAAGUAGCUAUGCUUUACUAACAAGAUAAGUCCAAAAGUUACAGGAAGGAAUCGUGCAAAUUUUGUGACUUGAUCAACUGGCUAUAAGUAUAAUAUGUAAAAGUCUUUUUCUAGCAUGUGAAUAUCAUAUAAGUUUCCAAUAUGGAAAGUAUGAAACAUUGAGUGACAGGAAUAACUUACCCACAGAAAAGACGUCCCAUCAGAAGAACUACUAUUGAAUUCAUAUCAAAUGCCAGUGCAUACAACAUGUUCCCAAUUAGAAGAACAAUGCUACUGAAUACAAGUGGUCUUAGAUAUGAUCGGUUCGACCAAGCACUGAAAUAAACUGAAGAAAACACCUGUGCAACGGCCAUUGUACCGAUGACCACACCACACACACUUGCUGCAGCUCCAAGGCUCAAAGUAUAGUUGUCUGCCGUAGGUACAAUAAUGUAAGUGUUCACCAUAUACAAAAAUGUAUUUGCCAAGUUCAAAAGAAGUGACAUAAAAUGAUAUCUUUCAUCAACAAUGUGAUCUUCAGAUGGAGAUGGUAGCUCCUCUUGCAUGAUAAAAGCAUGUCUUCCCAAAAACUGAAGGAAGUUUGUUGAGUUUGAUAAUCUGUCUACAGCUUCUUUGAUAGAAUCAAGAAUAGGAUCCUUCAAGGGAAAUCAGAAGGAGAAUGUCAUCCAGUGAUGCAAGAAUACCUUAGGGGCCGUUUAGUUUGAGAAAACAUUUUCUGUUUUUUGUUUUCAAAAGUUUGAAUAGGAAAUAGUGAAAAUAGAAAAUGAAAACAUUAAAAAUAUUGAUUUGGCUGUUUCCUGUAGGAACUUUUGAAAACAAAAAACAAAGUGAAAAUAAAGGUGGCCUCUUUGUAAUUAAAAGUGAAAAUAGAAAAUAAAAGCAGAAAACGUUUUCGCAAAGUAAACAGACCCUCAGAUGUUAUGAAUAAUUAAAAAAAAAAAAGGAUAAUGUUGUGAGAAGUGAAAACUGAGAACCCAUUUACAAUCAUUAACCAAAGUUUCAAAAAUAUAACAUUAUGCCUCUAAAAAUCAAAAAUGGAAUUCUACCUUGCAAAUAUGGUCUGUUCCUUGUAUGUGAUUUAGCUUAUGUCAGUUCAUAGUUUAUAAUCAGGGAAAUUAAGAACCUGUAUUAUUUUAUCAAUAUAUACAACAACAACAACAACGCCUUAUCCCACUAGGUGGGGUCGGCUACAUGGAUCAACUUUCGCCAUAAUGUUCUAUCAAGUACCAUACUUCUAUCCAAAUCAUUAAGUUCGAGAUCUUUUUUUAUAACCUCUCUUAUAGUCUUUUUGGGUCUUCCUCUGCCUCGAAUUGUUUGUCUUCUCUCCAUCUGGUCUACUCUCCUCACUACAGAGUCUACUGGUCUUCUCUCUACAUGCCCAAACCACCUAAGUCUAAUUUCCACCAUCUUCUCUACAAUAGGCACUACUCCAACCCUCUCUCUAAUAGCUUCGUUUCUAAUUUUAUCCUGUCGAGUCUUACCACACAUCCACCGCAACAUCCUCAUCUCCGCUACACCUACUUUAUUCUCAUGUUGGCUCUUGACCGCCCAACAUUCUGUUCCGUACAAAAUCGCCGAUCUUACCGCAGUCCGAUAAAACUUUCCCUUUAGCUUGAUCGGUACCUUUGCAUCACAUAACACCCCCGAUGCUUUUCUCCAUUUCAUCCAUCCUGCUUGAAUGCGAUGAUUCACAUCCCCUUCAAUUUCUCCAUCAUCCUGUAUUACAGACCCAAGAUAUUUAAACCGUGUGACUUGAGGGAUAAUAUGGUCUCCUAUUUUCACCUCUGAGUUAGAAACCCUCCUUCUUUUGUUGAACUUACAUUCCAUAUACUCCGAUUUGCUUCUGCUUAGGCGAAAGCCAUGUGUUUCUAGAGCUCGUCUCCAAGUUUCCAACCUCUCAUUCAACUCCUCCCUCGACUCUCCAAGGAGGACUAUGUCAUCUGCAAAAAGCAUGCAUCUCGGCGCUAUCUCUUGGAUUUGUUCCGUGAGGACAUCCAAAAUUAAGGUAAAAAGGUAGGGGCUAAGGGUUGACCCUUGAUGCAAACCAAUUGUGAUGGGAAAAUCGUCUGACUCUCCACCCUGUGUCCUAACACUAGUCGAUACCCUAUCAUACAUAUCUUGGAUAGUUCGAAUAUAUGCAACCCUAACCCCUUUCUUUUCUAGAGCUUUCCACAAAAUCUCUCUAGGCACUCUAUCAUACGCUUUCUCCAAAUCAAUAUAUAUUAGUUUCAAUAUCCCUAUGCUUCUCUUUUCUCUCCCCCAAAUUGGUAUUGAUCAAACACAAGAAAUGGUAGAGCUUAGCAGUAUCAUGCAUAUAAUGGAUCAAGAACUAACCUGAUGAGAAUAUGAAGGCUGGUCAUAUAUAGAAAUGUAGCUUCCUUGACUUUGCUGUAAAUCCUGAAGGUCUGCCAGACCAUGAGAUAAGACUCCAACAACAGCCUCAAUGCCCUGCAAAGAAGCGAUUACAUGAUACUGCCUAAAACAAACAAAGAGGAAAUAAAAAGAAGCUACUACAUGAUACUAUCUUACAUUUUGUAACAUUAAUGUUGUAACAUUAAACAGGAUGAUAGAUCAGCUUCAAACAACUUGAAGCAAAAUUUGAAAAAUGUUUGUAUUCAGGGUUAGAAACAUUACCACAUGCCUGAAAACCUGCCUUAAUUGGGAAUAAGGAUGAUUUGCACGCGUCUUGACAUAAUAGUCUGUGAAUUUAUAGCCGAACCGUUUAUCAAACUUCUUCAAGAUCUUUCUCAAACCAAUAACAUUCAUUUCCACAAAAUUAAGAAGCCUUAAAAGAUCUCGUCCAGCAUCUCUAUAUGCUUCUUGGAGUUCAGAGAUGAUUAUACUAUUUGGCUGCUGGAAAAGAGCAUGGUGUUCUUGUCCAAUAUCUGACAGCCUAUGUGCAAGUACUCCUUGUUGUUCAAGCAGAAAUAAAACAAUUUUUUCUAUCUGAAAUUCAAGAUCAAGGAAAGAUUACUUAGAAUUUAUUGACGGUUUUAUGGAUAGUAUAUGAUUAAUAAGACUCUUUGACCUCAAUUUGUUUUUUGAAAAGUUUAAGUGGCAUUUUGCUAACACAAAAGCUCUCUGGCUCUUCUCUCCCAUUCUUGUAAAACAAUUCCCUGAAGUACAAGUUCCUGUUUGGUUUGCUUCAUGUGGUUGGUUUCUAAACUUCAAGGUUAAAUACAUAACUUUCAAUUAGAAAAGAGAUUAUAUUUAGGUACAUGAUAUUUUUUCCUAUUAUAUAAAAAUGAUAAACAUGUCUCGUCAGUUACCUGAUUGUCUAGCAGCAUUGAGAAGUCUCUGAGAACAUUGUGGCGAUUUUGAGCUCCAACCUCCAUUUGUUCUACAUAUCUCUUGACUUUCUUCUUCAUUAACUUAUAGUUGAUGUAAUAUCUGGAAAAAAAAUUAACAUGUAUUACUGAAGUUAAACCAUCAUUUCUGGCUUUGGUGCAAGUAUUAUUACCACCAUUAAAACAAAAAGGUUGAAAAUAUUAUUACAAAAUAGAAAAGAAUGAAUUGAACAAUAUUAAAAUUCAUCAACCAUGCCAUAGAAAAAAUGAAUAAGAAAUAAUAUUAUGAAAUCAUCUUUAUGUCUUUUCAUACUUAUUAUUUAAAGUUGAUUGGUGGUUCAGAGCAAGUGUGUAGAUGCUUAAUUUUAUUGUCUUUGUCUCUUAAAAUCCUUCUCUUUAGAUGCUUCUUAUCAACAAGUUCUGAAGGCCAAAAAAGACUUCUUAUGAAAAGGUUUAAUUACUCAUUUGAUCUCUAUACUAGUACAAUCUUUACAAUAUUGUCCCCACGCCUAGAAAUUACUCAUUUUAAUCUCUAUUUAACUCAUUAGUCCAUUACAUACACUUUUUAAUCUGUUUUAUUCCCUAUAAUUUUGGAUGGCAUGGACUAAAACAGAUUAAAAGUGUAUAUGUAGAGACUAAAAAGUAAUUUUUAAGUGUAGGGACUAAAAUGUAAAGAUUGUAUAUGCAUAAGGACCGAAUAAGUAAUUAAAUCUUAUGAAAACUAUCUUUAAUAAAACUGAGCUAGAUUAUCACUCAGAAACAUGCUUAAUAUAUAUAAAGCCAUAGUGUUAAGUGUUAAGAAGGCAUAGUUCUGAUACAAAGUCAAGUAACUCCAAACUAAAGCAAAGAAAUAAACAAAAGAAAAUGAACUAAAUGUGAUAUAUAGCAGAAUCAAGAUGAUGUAAAACAGGGAAGGCAUGGUAUAUACUACUUAAUUUAAAUAAAUAAAUAAAAAUCCUUCAAGAAUUUGACAGUAGCUGAUCUCAGUCAAAUAAACGUACCCUUUCCAUUCUUGAAUCUGUAAUUCUCUCAACUUUUUACCGUAGCCAACCAUACUCAAGAAAGAAAUAUCACUGAACUGUAGCAAACCAGGAACAAGAAUUAAGACACCUACAAAGCUACAUAACAAUGUCAAGCUUUAUAAGAUUGUGUAAAUAGAAACACAAACCUGAUAAUAAUGGCAGCAACUCUCUUUCCUCUCAGAUUAAUACUUCAAUAAGGGUACAACAUCAUGGACUUUGGUAGCUGAAAGACUGAAACCACACUUGUUAAGCUGGAACACUUUAGUUAUCAAUAAGGGAAGCACAACAUAGAAAGAAAUAACACAACACAAAUGAAAAAGAGCAUAUUAGUGAAAACUUAUGAUCUUUUCCAUGCACUAUUGAUAUCAUAACUCAAUAAACACAAUAAUCACAUUUUGAAAUGCCAGUCACAGAAGAAAAUCAGCACUAAGUUCAAAAUCUAAAACAGCAUAAUAGUGAUUACCAAAACUAAAUGAUCCCCAGGAUAUGAGGAAAGAGAGAGAAUCAGAAAGUAGAGAAACCAAUGCCAAGUUCAAAAUAUAUAUUGAAACGCCUUUGUCCAUCAUGUCAUUGUCAGAGACAUACAUGGCUGUAAUGUCUUGACUCUUGUGUGUUCUAGUUUCAUCAGCAACAACAACAACAUACAUAAACAAUUCAGAAACUCAAGUUCCCAUGACAAAGAUAAGCCAAGAAAAUGUGGUUAAACGGUAAUUGCAUGUGACUGAAAAGGCUGUAAAUGAGAAUCACAAAAGUUUGGCACAGGGGAAGUGGAAGUAGGGUGUUGGCAUAUUGGAUUGGAUUGACUUUGAAGAGAAAAAAUCAUUCGACUAUGUUAUUUUAAUUUUCUUUAAUUUAACAUCGAAUUAAUUUAAUUUAAAACUUUAAAUAUUUUUAUAAAUCAGUUUGAAGUGAUUUGAAUUAAAUAUUAUUUGGUUUUAGACUUUUUAUUUUUGAGAAAAUAUUAAAUAAAUAUAAUUAAAAGAUCAAAUAUUUCAUAUAUAUAUAUAUAUAUAUAUAUAAAACAAUGGAAGUUAGGAGAAGAGUAGCACGUGACAAUUCAAGGAUUGAUGUUAACCAUCCUGAUGAGUAGGAGUAGAAACCAUCUAACAACCUGACACCUAUCACCUAUCCACAUCUCACCUCACUUUUUUUCAAAGAGGAUCACUAUCGAUUAAUUAAAAAUUAUUUUUGAUUAAUUUUUAAAAUAAUUAUUAUAAAAAUUAAUGAAUUUAUUUCCUUUAAAAAAAACCAACUAAUUUAUUAUGCAUGACAGUUAGUAUCAACGUAUCACAAUUAAUAAUUUUUUUGGUUGAUUAAUAGUAAAAAAAAUUAUACUGGCAUUAUAUAAAAAUUAAACUUAAUUAUCUUUCGAUCAUUAAUUAUCAUAUAAUUAAAAAUAAAAAAACAGUGCAUGCAUCAUCAGUAUUAACCUUUUUUUAUAAUGUCUUGCGAUAAUAAAAUUAUCAUAUAUAUGAUAAGUAUGUACAAUUUUUACUAUAAUUAUUUUAAAAUUUCUGAUUAUUUGAAAUAUAAAAAUUGUUACACUCAGAAUACAUAUCUAUUAAACUCAUUUAAAAUUAAUAACUUUUUAAUUAUUUUAAAAAUCAUUUCUAAAAUUAUUUCUAAUUAAUUCAUAACAUAAAAAAAUAUCAUGAUAAUGUAUCAAAAUUAAACUCUAUUUAAAAUUCUGUCAUGUGUUCUCUUUUCAGUGUCAUUAAAAUAGUGUUAAUUAUUAGAGUAAAUUAUCUUUUUCGUAGGGUUUUUUUAUGACUAAAAGGGGGAAAAAUCCGUCCAAACACAAACUAACGAAUAAGGCUUAUAAGUCAACCAACAAGGCAAGACUACAAAAAGAAGAACAAGUAAAGAAAAACUGAGUUUCCAAAGAAAUAGUAAGACCGUGUUUCGUGAAAUCAUCAUCAACAGCAUUCCCUUCUCUGUCUUUAAUAAGGCAUGACUCUAUUUCUGAACUAUUGAUCUAUAAUAUAGUAUAUACCAAUUUAAUAGUAAUUGGUAAAAAUGGGAAUUGUAUUAUGUUUGUGCUAAAAAAAUUAAUGAAGUUGAUCGACUUUUAUCUUCUCCUGAAUUGGUUUGUCAAAUUUAAGAACUGUAUGUGGUCACCAAACGUGAAACAAAUUAUUCAAUAACUUAUUCUAAAUAUUUUAACAAUAAUAAUAUAGCUUAAUUAGAUUUCUCGAUGGAAAUUUGUGAAAUUUCAAAUGAUAUACAGAAAUCAAAUUGGAAGAUUUUGCUUUUAGGAUACUCACUUAGGAGUAUGUUUGAUUUAGUGGAUGAAAAUAGAAAAAAUAAAGAUAAAAAAUAAUUAAAAUGUAUGAUAAAAGAUGUGAGACCCACGUGAGGUUCAGAUAAUUUCUUUUCUAUUUUUCUUCUUUUUCUCGGCCAAAUGCAUCCUUAAAAAAAUCUUUUCCUGUCCUGAUAUAUUAUUGCUAAGGAAUCUCUAAGAAAAAAACGACAACCAAGCAAAACUAUAUUGACUUAGAGGAAAUAUUUGCGGCUACAAACAUUAGUGCAAAAGUUAGUUAUCAAUAUUAUACAACACACAAACACGAGUUUAGGAUCUUUCCAUUAGGGGCAAGUGCAGCAAGAGAGAAAGACAAACCUACAUGUAGGUGGUGAUCGAUAGAGAGAAUCUUAAGGGCACACGUGUAUACAAAAUUAUUCUUUCAAGACUUGUGCCACAGCUUGUUGUCACUAGUUACUUAUCCAUUUAAUUUUCUGGGAUUAUGUAUAGCUAAAUCUUGAAAAAUCGUGCAAUAUGUACUCAAAAUACAAUUUUGGGCAAACAAAUAAUAAGUAUUACUGUUGUGUGAGAGCAAGCAGUUGCUUAUAAAGUUCUUAUAGAAGUUACUUAUUACAAUCAAGAUUGUUUAACCAUUAAAAAACAAAUUUUCAAGUUAAAAAUAAGAAUGGAAUUUUUGUGUCACUACUGAGUAGAGAGAUAAAAUGGAACCCACUAAAAUAAAUUAAAAACUCAAGUUAAGUUUUACUGUUAAAAUUAAAGAUUUUUAUUAACUUUUAUGUGACAAUAACUGGUCCACUAAAAGAAAAUUAAGAACUCAAAUCAUUAGAGAUGCUCUUACACUAAUUAUUUUAUGAUGACUUAGUCCCAAUUACUCUUCUAAUUACUAAAGAAUUUAUCAUCGUUAAUCUAACACAAAAAUUUGUUCACACAUAUAGAAAUGAUAUAAUAAUUUUUUUCAUACAUGCAUAAUCUAAUUCUCUUUGUCUCAUUAUAAUUGUUAUUUUAAAUUGUUUCACACAGAUUAAAAAAAUUUAACAAAUAGAUAAAAGAGAAUAAUAAUUUUUACCAUUUUAUCAUCAUUAAUUUAUUUUUUAUUUUUAUUGCUCAUAUCAUUAAUAUUAUAAAGAAUAUAAGCGAAAUAAAUAUAAUUAAUAAUUUUUUGAGGAUUAAUUAAUGUUAUAUUAAAAAAUUAAAAUGAUAAUUAUUUGAAGAAAAAAAUUCUUAUAGGAUGAUUAUUAUGAGAUGGAGGGAGUUUUUUUUAGGUUUUUCUAUAUAAAGUAAGUAAUAUCAAUAAUUAAUGCGAGAGAAUUCAAUUCUAACACAUGCACGCACAUUUAAUAUCAACCAUUAAUUUUCUCAUUAAUAAUUAAAAUUAUUUAUUGAGUUGUUCACUUCAAAGGAAUCCAAUCCUACUUUUCCUUUUUUCCUGCCUCUUUAUGUUGAAGACACUUGUUGAAAUAAGAACCAAAGGAAUCCAUGUUGACAUGAGGAGAGAAAUUAACAUGUGUUUCAGACUGCCAAGAGACUCCAAGUGUCACUUGAACUAUGACAAAACACUCAUUAACAAGGCUUUAUGCAUAGUUAUACAAUAACAUAACACUUUAAAAAUACAUCCUCCAAAUCGGCCACACGAUCAGAGGCAGAUCCUUUUAAUUUGAAGAAGUUAUAUAUUUCUGCCAUUAGUAUAUAUCACAUGGAGUCACAUGAACAAUGGCAUGACACUAAUGAACAAGGAUUUUAUGAUUUAUAUGUAGCUAUAGAUUGACAUAACACUCAUGAACAAUGCCAUGACACUAAAAAAAGACAUCCUCCAAAUCGAUCACACGAUCAGAGGCAGAUUCUUUUUAAAGAAGUUUUAAGUAUCAUAGGAUUCAAAAUAUAUAUGAAGUUUGUACUUUUAAUUUGUUAAUGAAAAGGUAAAAAAUAUAUAUAUGCACGUAUUCAAAUUAAGGAUAUGCAAUGACUUACCAUAGCUGAGAUGAAGAUUGAAGACAAUAUUAUUCCAUGAGUGCAACACUUCUGCUUUAAUGCUUUAGACACUUGAGUUCGAGAGAAAAACAGAAUUCAAUGGAGCAAAUUUAAAAUUUACCUGAAAAUGAAAACAAGUAUAGAAAGUUUACUACCUGGAAACAACAGAAGCUCCUGGAUAAAGUAAAUAUACAUGUAACCAAGUGAGUGAAACCAACAAAUUCAAGUUUAGAGGCCAAACUCACCACUGUAUACAGAACUGAAACUGUGAGAUACACUCUCUUGGCUUUUAGAACAUCAAAAGGGCACGUUCACAUAUAUGUUAUCCAAAAUCCACCCCUCCAUUAAAUUUAUAGCAUGGUAAGAAUCACCGUGAUGAUCUUAGCAAAUGAUAGAUAUUGCCAAACCUUUUUAUCAGUAGCGGACACGCGUUUUGUCCUGAGUCCAAAAGUGUCUUUAUGCAGGUUAGUUAAUUAUUUUUUUAACCCAACUUAUGAACAAACUAGAGUACCUUUUGAAUAUGAACACUACAAAAACAAAAAAGAUUUCUAGAAUUUAUCAGAAACUAUAGGGAUUGCUCUAUUGAUAUAAGACUUAACACAUACUUUUCGAUAACUUUAUGUGAUAUGAUGUUUAACAAUUCAACUAUUCAAUCAUAAUUAUGUAUUAUCAUAAUUUUUUGUCGAAUCUUAUAAAAAUUAAGCGAUUAUUAGGAUAUAAUAUAAAAAAAACUGUUAUUUUCAUAUAUAUAUAUAUAUAUAUGUAUAAUUUUAAAAAUAUAUAAGAAUUUUCAAUUUGACUAUAAGUUAAUUUAAAAUAAAUUUAUCUAAAAAAAAAACUUGUGUAAAAUAAGAUUUGACAAGUACUUUGUGAUUAUGACACAUGACUUAUCAUACAUAUAAUUUAUAGUUGAGUGAAAAUAUAAAAAUUAAUUUAUGCUGUUAAUACAUUUUAAUGAAAUUCAAACAAUUAACGCUAAUAAUAUACCAAAAUUAAACAUAAAGUAAUGUCUCAUCCAGAAAUUAUGAGCAUGUUUGAAAAAUCAAAUAAAAAAAUCAUUUGAGACAUAAAUAUUUUUAUAAAAAAAUAUCAUUUUAUUUUAUUUGUUAGAUUUACAUUGGACGUAUCUCAUAAUAAUUUUAACUACAGAAAACAUGUAUUAUAUAUAAUUAAUUUUAUAGAUAUCCACAAAAAUGUGAAAGAAAUACUCCAAAACUUGCUGACUAUGUUUCAGAUGUGGACAUGUGUUUGGCUACCUACUUCCUAAAAUAAAAUAUUUACUAAAAGAACACAACAAAAUCUAGUUUUGGGUCUAUUUUGUGGCAGAGACAGGGUGUCCCUUUCCAAUGUAUAAUAUGUACCAUUUCACAUGAGUUUCAUUUUUAAAACACAUAAUUCAUUAAUUUGUAUGGUCCACAAAGAAUAUUCUUCUUGUAUCCAUAUCACAAUGACGAAUAAUAUACAUGGUCUCACUUUUUCCCACAAUUUCUUUGUUUAAGUAUUCUUUACACUAUAAAUGUGGGUCACUCAGACAUAGAUAAGAGCGUGCAAGCUUAUGCGUUGUCUAGAAGUUAUUCGUGAAUGAAAAUUUGACACAAAGUAAGUGACAAACCCCGAAUGCAUGUGGUAGUAAAGAAAGUAUUAAUGUAAACCAUAUGUAAAAGGGUCGAGUUUACAAUAUUUUUUUUAUCAAUCAUUAAAAGUAUAUGUAUAUAUUAUCGUGAUAUUGAAUUGCAUUAAAAGUAUAUGUAAAAUAUUUAUUAAUUUUAUUGAUAGUUAAUUUUUAGCUAAAAAUUUGGAUAAUUAUUUAUGAUGAUUUUUUUAAUCUUAUUUUUUAUCUACGUAGUUUAAUUUCAAAAUCACCUUAAUUAAGAGUUUUGAGCUCAAUUUCACUCGGAUAAAAUGAAACUUUUGAUUUUCAGCUCUUAAGAUAAUAUAUGGUUGUGGAUUUAUUUUAUUUUUUUAUUUUUUGUUCUCCGACUUUGGUUUUGCAAAUUGUGACUUAUCUAGGAUAAAGGUCACCUAUUGAACCUAAAGGGGCCCAUAAUCUGCAAGAUAUAUAAAGGCGAAAGACGUGGACCUAACUUUGUAUGUGGUAGGAAAUAUAUGUUUUAUCAUGCAAUUAUCUUUGAUUUUAGUGGGAAACUUAAGAAAUUCCAUGACAUAUAUGGCUAUAGAAAAAACAUAUGUUGUGUAUUUCAAGUGUUUGAACUUGGAAUAAAUAAAUAAAACACUUUUUUUUUGGUAUUGAAGACAUGAAAUCAAAAUAAAAUGUAUAUUAUUAUGAGACUAAUGGUACGAGCAGUGUCGUUCAUGAUUUAGAGGUUAUACUCAUUGAGUUGCUUUUAGGUUUCCUCUUUCUAAAAUGAAAACAUCCAUUUUAGGUGUUUCAAAAGACUAUUUAACCCAAUAAUUUUUAAACAAUUGAUAGAAUAGUGUGUGAAUUAUUGUAAAUUAUUUUUUUAUUUGAGUUCAAUUUCUACAUACAUAUAUAAAAAUGACAAUUUAAACACAUUUUUAAACUUUGGUUUUCUCUCUAGAUCAGAGCAGCUCUGUUGCUAUUACCCCCAAUUCUUGGUAUAACAGAAGUACAUCUAUUAAAAAAAGGAAGAAAAAAAUUCAAUAAUUAAACACACACACUUAAAAUAGUUGGGAAUGAAGAGGAGAAUGUGAUGUUAUGCAAAGAGAAAGAUAUUUUCAUUGUGAAGGUAACUCGACAUUACAUAUAUAGGGCUAUUAAUUUUCUACUGUCUCUGUUUAUUACAACAGUCAACAUGAUAUUAUCAUGUCACGAUUAAAGAAAAAUAGUAUCCACCGUAAAAUAGAAAUGAUUUCGAGAUUAAGUAAUAAAUUGGUAUGAACUCGCAAGUUGCUCUACAAUUGCACUUGCAAAAGAGAAGAGAUAUUUUUUAAGAUAAAUAAAAAUCAAAACAAAAAUAAACUAAAAUAUGAUCACACAAGUCAGUCAAUUUGUAACUUUUCGUCUAAAAGUUUUAGGUGCUGUUAAUCUUUUUCAUUCACAAAAUAAUUAAUUAAUGAGCCUUGGCUAAUAGUCACUCUAGUUUACGUUAGUGGGAAGCCUUCUUUUUAGAUACAAGUGUUAGCCAAAUAUUUUGUGAGUAGGCCUGAUACUAUUUUAAUGUCCAGAUUCAUAUCGUUAAUAGUGUCACGCACUAAAAAAAAUCUUCAGCUAGCUUUUGUAAUCUUCAGCUAUUAAUUAAACUUCAACAUGCCAAUUGUGAGUUUUCUAAUGAUAAGGAUUGUCAAGAAUUAAGAUGUUGGAAUUUGGCAUUUUUUUCACAUGCAUAUAAGCCUACUUUUACACUGCUUUUGGGUUGCACUUUUAGGAGUAAUGAAGUAAUAUGGAGUAAUUUAAAAAGCCAAUAGUACUAAUGGACCAAAAAAUUUGUCCAAGUUGGUGUUAAUUUAGAAACUAACCAUCAAUUUGGAGUUAUCUUAAAUUUAUUUUCUACCACCUGAGUCAGCAUCAAAAAAAAAAUUCUACCACCUGAGACUCAAAAAUCUUAAUUAUGCUAGUUAGCAAAAAAUAAUUUUCUACACAAAUAAUUGUUAGAAUUUUCUUAAUAAAUAGGAAGUUUUAUUGAUUGAAUGAAUGAAAGAAAAUGGACAAUAACAAGAACAGAGGUUCUUCUUAAAAGAGCAAGGUUGUGGGCAACUUAAAGGCUAAUAAAAAUUCCAAAUUAUUUUAGGUCUCAAAAAUAUAUUCACGGUUUUUUUUAAAUCAUUGAUUUAAAUUAUCAAGUAAUAAAUUUUAUGAUGAUACAAUUUUUAUUUGUCAUUAUUUUUAUCAGUAAGACCGUGAAUAUAAAGAUAUUUAUAUAGGUGUUGUUUUAAGUCAUUUAAAUAUUAAUCUUAUUAUUUAUUUCAAAAAAUGGUUAAAAAAUAGUUUUGUAUACCCCUUUCCCAAAAAGGCUAUUAAAACUAGUAUAGACCUUAAAUCUCUUGAAUAAACAUAUAAUAUAAUAAAAAAAAUAUUUUGCUAAAAUGGUAGAGAUAAAAUCACAUGUUUAACUAAAAAUUCUUUUCAUAUCAAUUACUUUAUAUAAAUUAAAGAUUAGGUUCAUGCAUAUUGUGAUAGCUAAUGAAGCAUACUAGUCUAGAUGUCAUUAAAGGAGACAUGUAGAUUAAUCUUAGAGUUAAUCUAUCAUAUCCCUAUAAUAAAAUAGACAUUUGAUUGAGUUAGAUAUGACUAAUAAUAAUUUAUUUUUUUAAUUGCAUACUCAAGUCUUGAAUUUAAAAUUAAUGAUUGAGUUAAAAAAAAUACUUUAUCAAAUGAUUUAUGCAUUCAAUGAUAUUUCUUUUUUAUUUUUAUAAUUCUUGGUCUUUUCUUUUCUAGUCCAAACAAACAUAAGGAUCAAAUUUAAGUUAAAAUUACACUCCUUUUCUCUCUUAACAUGAGAGAUAAUAAUAAUACUCUUGCUUAAUCCUUAUAUGGUAUCCCUUCAAAUCUUGUAAUUUGAUAAUGAACUCAGCAGCUUAACUUUAUUUUCAUUCACAAUCCAAAUAUUGGAAUGAAAAAUUCAAACUUUGGACAUUCAUUAUGCAUGCAAAUAGAAGGCAUUUAUAUCUUGUACUCACACUAUUACAUCUCCUAUUGCAUUCCAAAAAGCAUAUUUCAUAAUGAAAAUUUACAUUCUAGAAUGUGUGAUACUUUCUACCCCGAUAUACAUAUAAAUAAGAAAAAUAUAUAAAAAUUUGGAAUUUAAUUAAAUCAAUUUUAUUCAAAUCAUGUAAACAAAUCCAUAUGGUUAAAAGGAACACAUUCGCUUCAUUAUUACCAAAUAAAACUUAUAAAAAAACAUUUCCAACUCAAAAUAAGGUCGUCCAAAUUUACAAAAAAACUCAAGUUAAGCAGCGAAAUAAAAUAAGAUAAAAUGACAUGUUCAAAAUAUCAUGUCAUUGAAACAAAAACUCAUGCUCCAAUGUCACAUCAUACCAGAGCAUUGUGUCUCAUAGUCCUUUAGCACGAGAUUCUUUAAAGUCAUCCACCUAGUCAUCUGCUCUUACGAACACAAGGUUCAAGAUCAU